UACGUAGGGUGCGAGCGUUAAUCGGAUUUACUGGGCGUAAAGCGUGCGCAGGCGGCCUGUUAAGACAGGUGUGAAAUCCCUGGGCUCAACCUAGGAAUUGCGCUUGUGACUGGCGGGCUCGAGUACGGUAGAGGGGGGUGGAAUUCCUGGUGUAGCAGUGAAAUGCGUAGAGAUCAGGAGGAACACCGAUGGCGAAGGCAGCCCCCUGGGCCUGUACUGACGCUCAUGCACGAAAGCGUGGGGAGCAAACAGG
rnacentral:rRNA from 1 species